AUUGAACGCUGGCGGCAUGCCUAACACAUGCAAGUCGAACGAAUGGCGGACGGGUGAGUAAUGUCUGGGCAACUGCCUGAUGGAGGGGGCUAACUACUGGAAACGGUAGCUAAUACCGCAUACCACCGUAUGUGCCCACGUGGGAUUAGCUAGUGGGUGGGGUAAAGGCUCACCUAGGCGACGAUCCCUAGCUGGUCUGAGAGGAUGACCAGCCACACUGGAACUGAGACACGGUCCAGACUCCUACGGGAGGCAGCAGUGGGGAAUAUUGGGCAAUGGGCGAAAGCCUGAUGAAGCCAUGCCGCGUGUAUGAAGAAGGCUUUCGGGUUGUAAAGUACUUUCGGCGGGGAGGCGUUACCCGCAGAAGAAGCACCGGCUAACUCCGUGCCAGCAGCCGCGGUAAUAC
rnacentral:rRNA from 1 species